UCCAGCAAAGGUUUAGAUGCUGAUGUUGUGACCUACAACAUAUUAGUUGCUGGAACGGAAUUUCUGUUAGUGAAAAUAAUGAUGUGGCUCCCUCACCAUAGAGCUUUGACAACUGUCACUACUCAUCAUCAUUGAUGAUAGACCUUCAAUGCGGCAAACUUUCUAAAUAAUGAGAACCCUUUAACAUGUUCUCAUCUAGUAUGAAGAAAGGGAUUGCACAACAAGUGACAUUGGAACAAAUUUCUGAAGGUCUCGGUGAGCUGCCAGCCUACUUUUCUAUGUCGAGAGUGAGCAGAUCAAAGAUAGUGGGAUGCCUUGGUUGUGGUUCAGUCAUACAAUCCCAGACCUAAAGUUCCGCAUAGCAGUAUCUCAAUAAGUGAUUUGGACCUUUGCUUAUCCAAAGCAUUGCUGCUGCUCAAAACUCUGCCUCAAUCCAAAUGCCACGUGUCGGGUAUCAAGAUGGAUCAGUCGAUCAGAUCGAGCAAUUUGGUAUUCUAUUGAGCGUCUUUUGCGAAAAUAUUCCUCGAUAUAUGGCAUUAAGAUUUACGUGUAUUAUUGCAGGAAUCCUUCACGAUAGUGAAAUGUAUUUCCAGUCAGUGCCUGAAUGUAGUAUUUCCGGUCAGUGCAAUAUAAGAAUGAUGAAUCUCAAUGGUCAGAUUUGGAUUUGUAUCUUGAAGAGCCGGUCUUACCACAGAUGUAGAACUUCAGUGUGUUGCACUGGUGGGAAGAAAACGGGUUCAAGUAUCCUCAGCUUUCUUGGAUGGCUCGCAACUUCCUGGCCAUUCCUUUGUCUGUUGUGACUCACUGUGAUGCAUACUACACUGAGCGAAGGGAAGCUAAUUGGAGAUUGUUGUCUUUGAAACCUGAACUGAUGAAUGCCUUGAAGUGCACUGGGAGCUGGAAAUUUGGUUAUGUAAGAAGUAAUAUAAGCUGCUCCGAGGCUCAAUUGAACUUUUAUGCGGCCGUUAUGAGAUCAUGAGUAGAGCUAGGACUCGGAGUUUUGAAGUAUAGUAUGCUGUAUUAUCAUGGUUAUUGUGGGAGAGUGCAGGUAGAGAAUGAUCAGAGUCUUCUGGUUUAUGGAACUUUUAAGUUAUUUUCUUGACAAUGUGAACUAUAGGUGGAAGUAAGGACUUUUGUUGAUUUUCUUUUUAAUUGGUCGGAAAUCAACUACUUGUAUCUAUUUAGCUGACGUUUUUUGCAUCGGCAUUGUUGAGAAUGAUAUGGCUUGCCAAUGUUAGUUGAUAUUGAAGCUUAUUUUUGGUAUAAUUGUAAUGUAAUCGACUUUUAUAUUUACAAUUAUAUACUAUUCAAUU